rnacentral:rRNA from 1 species
GACGAACGCUGGCGGCGUGCUUAACACAUGCAAGUCGAGCGGGAUCCAACCGGUGGCAACACCGGGGAAGAUCUAGCGGCGAACGGGUGAGUAACACGUGAGCAACCUGCCCCGAAGACUGGGAGUAACACCGGGAAACCGGUGCUAAUACCGGAUGUCGUCAUUAGGCCGCAUGACCUGAUGAUGAAAGGAUUCAUCGCUUCGGGAGGGGCUCGCGGGCUAUCAGCUUGNGGGUUGGGGUAACGGCCUACCAAGGCGACGACGGCUAGCUGGUCUGAGAGGACGACCAGCCACACUGGGACUGAGACACGGCCCAGACUCCUACGGGAGGCAGCAGUGGGGAAUCUUGCGCAAUGGGCGAAAGCCUGACGCAGCAACGCCGCGUGGGGGAGUGAAUG